GGCUGGAGAUAAAAGGACAAUGAAGUUUAGUAGCAGCUGUGUACCCAGUUUUCUGUGGUUCAGUUGCACAUACGCCUUGCCUGGAGGUGGGAGGUGCGUGGAUAACUGGAGACAUUAUUAAAGAGGCUCAUGAGAAGAGGAUGGAGGUUGAUCCUGGUUUGGGAAGCUUCCAGCUUGGAAUGAUUACAAUAGAAAGAAGCUGUUCUCCUGAUUCUUCCUGAUGCUGACACACCUUCUCUUUUUAAAAACAAUAGCA
rnacentral:lncRNA from 1 species